ensembl:lncRNA
UGGUACCGAAAAAAAGGGCUGGACAUCCAUGACAUCAUGGAAGUGACACAUCCGGGAUCAGGCAAAAGCAAGGUCAGAAGAUUCAAGUAAACUGCACGAGUGGGUAAUCCAGACCCACGGGUGAUCCAUCACCAUGGCACUGAUGUCUUUCCUCAUUGCACACCUAGUACUCUGUGAUAGUUAACUGUGUCAAUUUGAGUCAGAAACACCCAACUAAAUUAGAUCAGCAUACAUUAGUUCUGGGUGUGACAGAAGGGAUUUACUGAAGACAGAAGACCCACCCUGGAUGUGAGUGGCACCAACCAAUAGGCAUGUCGCCUGAGUGGAAGAAAAGGGGAACAAAGAAGGAAGGCUCACUUCUGUUUCUUCAGAGAAGCUCCAGUCUUCACCUUCACCUUGGACGUCCUUUCCUGGCUUCCGGCACAGACCUUUCAGCCUUCUAUUGUAGACCUUCCUCUUUUCUCCUUUACUACUGGAAUUCAGACAGAGACCACAGCCUCUCUUGCAGCUGGCAUGGAUGUGAGACACAUGACUAAGCUCUGGCCAACUGGGUGUGAGCGGAAGUGAUAUGGGCCACUUCCUGGUCUAGCUCUUAAGUAUCGGGCAAGUCCCCUGCUCAUCUCUGCCCUCCUUUCUCCUGGCUGUGAUGAAGAUUCCACAUCCGGAGCUGAGCUAGAGAUGGAAGCCACAGCAGGCCACCCUGCCUUGGAGACAGCUGACUCCAGACUGAAACCUCUACAAACUGUGAACCAAAAUAAACCUCUCCGCCUUUAACUUCCGGAUGCUGUCUCCUGUAUCAGGCGACCUAGCUCUACUGAAU